UACGUAGGGUGCGAGCGUUGUUCGGAGUUACUGGGCGUAAAGCGUGCGUAGGCGGUGUCUUAAGUUUGUUGUGAAAUCUCCCGGCUUAACCGGGAGGGUGCGGCGAAUACUGAGAUGCUGGAGUGCCGGAGAGGUAAGCGGAAUUCCUGGUGUAGCGGUGAAAUGCGUAGAUAUCAGGAGGAACACCUGCGGUGUAGACGGCUUACUGGACGGUAACUGACGCUGAGGCACGAAAGCGUGGGUAGCAAACAGG
rnacentral:rRNA from 1 species